rnacentral:lncRNA from 1 species
UUAGCAGGUACGGCACAUCUGUGAGUUAUUUCCAUGUCUCCAAGGGGAAAGGGAAAAAAACCCUGACCGUCCUUAAGUGAGACCAGAAUUCUUCUAUAUUUUUGCCUUGACAGCUAAGGAAAAAAUUUGCCAAAAACCAGAGGCGCUGCUGAGUGUUGGCGUGGGAAUGUUAGUUUAGUCAGACUUGCUCUGGGCCAUUUAAAUAAAAACAGGCACUUUGGUGGCAAAUUCCAGGGGGACGUGCCUGGGACUGGAGCUCUGCGCCCAGAAAGGGGGUUUUGUGACCUCCCUCCCUCCUACCCUGGGCUCUUUCUCUUGCUUCUCCAGCCUCUUUAUCAUCACAAUCAGCGUUUCACUGGCAAACAUUUGGUGCAAUAAUUUUCAAAAAUCAGCAAGGAAAGUCAAGUCUUUCAUGUGGUCUGGAGUGCGUUGGCCCAGCUGGAGGAGAGGGCUCCGAGCCCUCCCCCUCCCCAGCCCCGAGCUGUCUCUCUGGUUGCUUCAGCCACCUGGGGGUCUUUGCACAGCUUAAAUCAGUGCGGCCAUCACCAGGGGCAGAGGGAGGAUGUGCCAGCCAGCAGGCUGAAAUGGGGUUAGAUGUGUGUCCCCUAGGGGCCCACUGUCCUGCCUGGUCCAGGACUCUGGGGACCUGCUUUCAGGCCAGCACCCUGCUGGGGUGGGGGGUGAGGGAUCCCGUGGCUCUGGGCCGCCACGAGGGUGUGGAGGAGCUAAUAGAGUGACAAGAUCUGGAGGCAGGGGUCUGCCUUGGGGUCCAGUGGACUCUGGGGGCGGCCACCUGGCUGACAGGAGUUCCAGAGCACAGAGGCCAGAAGCUGUGGAGUGUGUGGCUCUGUGCUUAGGAAGGUGCCCCAGGAGGAACAUGGACACGUUGCCUGUGGCCAUGGGUCCUGGGGGCUCCGGGAAUGGGGUCCUCACCAAGGGAGCUACUGGUACAGAAAGAACAGCCAGGGUCUCACGCAGGCACAAGGACCGGAGGGGUUCCCGAGAGGGUCUCCUCUGGGAGGGACGGAGCUGAAUGUGCUGAGAUGGGGGUUUCCUGAGCUGCUAGAGGGUGGGGAUAGGGUAGCUGGUUGGAGGACUUGAUCAGCCAGGGCCCAGGGGUGGGGUCCUUGGGAGGCAGCCCCAGGGCAGCCCCAUUGGAG